CGAGAGCUGUGCGGUGGGCUCCGCAACGGGGAGGUGUAGAGGUGCUGGGAGAAGAGUGGAGCGCUGAGGCGUUUCGUUGGGUCAGCUCGGGAGCCGACUGACCUGCAGGAAGGACGCGGCCCUGAUUUGGUGCCCUAGCGCAGCCUGUCAGCCCCUUCUCGCCAUCAGGAGAGCCCCAGCCCGGCUGCUCGGUCAGCUUUCUGUCUCUUUCUGCUGUGACCUUCACCGCUUCUCCUCAGGACUCCCCAUCUCUGCAGGAACGCCGCGGCUGCCUGCCCUCUCUCUGAAUGCUUUAGCUGAGCUCCACUUCUGGGCCAGCCCCAAACUCCCCUCUCUGCCCUCUGCCGCACUGGAGGAGUUACCUGCGUACAUUGCUAAUACAGCGGUCUUAAGCCUUGUGCCUUUUUCCUUCUCUGGUUAAUGAGUCAUACUUUGGAGUGAGUGCGCUGCCCAGAAGCGGGCUUUGCCCCAUGCCCACAGAUGCACAGUGGUGAUCCCAUGAAGUGGAGACAGGUCCCAGUUACUCAGCCGGCAUUUAACAUGCACUUGUUGCAAAAUGAAUGACAUGUACCAUCGUUUUCCCAUGGAGUUGCUGCAUACGGUCUGUUACAGGCUUGCACGUGUACGUAGCCUUACUCCUGUGCAUAGCUCUAAGCCAGCCGGACUGCUCCCAGUGCACAAAACUAAGCAUGGAUACAGGUCUUUCCAUGGUGAGAUGCUUAAUGCAAGGCGAUUGCAGCAAGCGGGGAGGGGAAGUGGAAAACAAGGGUGACAGCAAUAAAAUUACACUGGAAUUUUGGUACGUUGUCUACAAACCAUGCGGUUUCUUCUUUGCUUCCUAGCUAAAUAGGUGAGUUUCUGAGGCUCCUGCACUGCAGACAUGCACACGUCACUUCAGGCUCUUCCAUAGUGCCAUUGCAUGUGGCUGGACAACAUAUGCAGAAAAUUAUGAUAUAUAACCUUGCAGGGAAACGUCUCGGAUGCUUUCUUAUGUAUUAAAUGUGGUGCACAGAAAUAAAGUAGAGAAGAAAGGGAGAAAAAGCAAAGGUGAGAGUGAAGAUGAAUGAGUGGCAGAGGAUGAAGAGGGGAACAGACAGCACACAGAACAGCCUGAUAAGUGAACACAUUUUGAGUGGAACCAGAACAGCAAACCGUUUUACCAACCCAAAUGUGCAGCUGUCAGUUGCAAUAAAACAAAAAGCCGCAAGAAGAAAAGCAAAGCAAUGCAGUAUGUACUGGUAUCUAAACGUCUAGAGGGAUUCAGCACAUCGGUAACGAUAUUCUGAGGUCUCUUGGCUAAUGGUGGAGAGCAGAAGAGCAAUGGAGGUCAGGUUUUUAAAUUCUGCAUUGGGAGUCGGAGUGGUCGCUGCGGCAGUCUGAUGGUUUCCCCUGUAAACUGACGAGGGACAAAAGAGAAAGCUCUAUCCAGCUGCCUCCUAAGAGCCACGCAGCGGAGAGCCUGCAGCUACGUAGGUGCCUUUUGACAGAAGCAUUCAAAACAGUCAAUUAGCAAAAUGCAGAAAGCACAGGGAGGAAAGAGCCAUUUCUGCACAAGCAGUACGCUAAAAUAAAUGACAGAGGUUUGUUUUGAUUUGGAAGGAGGACACAUUUAUUUUCUUGUUUGCUUUCUUAUUAUUUUCAUAGAGCAGGAUGACAAAGAGAUACUGAGGAAAAGCAGGGACUGCCCAGACCCUUCUACAAGGAGGAAAUACCUCAUGCACAGUGCAUUUUGUCAAGUAUACAAGGUUUAUGAAAACAAACAAACCAGUCUUUCCAAUUCGCUUUCGGGAGAACAUCUGAGAUUGAAACAUUCCGUCUAGAUAGUGGGGUAUUUAAUUCUGCUGCUGGCAGAAAUGUACAAAGUGCUCUAUCGGAAUACAAAAAUCCAAACAAAGCAUCCGGUGUGUCCUAAAGAGAUGGAAGCGCACACAGCACACUGUCAAAUGUGGAAUGGCAAAAAUCGUAGCAGCGCAAACAGAGGUGAGCAGACAGGGCUGAGAAAGAAAAGUGCUUCUUCCCUUAGUGAUGGGGAAUGGAGAAUGGAGAUGACGUGGAUGACCUUCUUCUAUUUUGGUAUAUUCUUCUCAUUGUCCGUGCUAGCGUGGACCACGGGUCUCAGCAUAGUGUCAGUACUUACAUGUGCAGCAGUGGUAUCUCGUAGGAAAUGAGGAUAUUGCCUCUGGAUGGAACAUCAAAUGUUUAUGUUCAAGUCUUUUAACUCCUUUGGAAGAGCAUCAAAUAUGGUGGAUAAAUGUUUCCGUCUCUCUGAUCCCACACCUAUCUCUCUCUCAGAAAUCUUCCUGUGACUGUUCGGCCUUCUUAAGCAGAAAAUCUCCAAAGCCAAACUCUUUUUCUUCUGUAGAUAAUUUUGUAUUUCCUACAGCCUCUGCCAUCAUCUGGUCUCCAGUCCAUCAUUUCUAGGGAAAAAAAAGAGAUAUCCUCAGCCUUUUCUGCCACACACAUUUGUGUCUCUGAACUUUCUCUCAUCUCGUUCUGAAGAACACUCUUUGUUUGGGAAUUCGCUUCUUUUCUACAUCUACCAGCUCAACUCUCUCACCAAAAAUGUAUUUUUCUGGAGAGUUUAUCUUCAGCAUCCUUCAUCCUACAAAUCCAUCUUGCAGUAUUGCCCCAUAAACCGCCACAUUUGUAUGAAGAGUGGCAGAAAACUGAUGCUGGAGCAGGAGCAAGUGGCAUGGGGCAGGCAGAGAACUGCUUGGGUCAAUUUUGGUAUUGCAGAAAAUCUAGUGUAAAAAUGCACUGUGACUUGCACCUGAAGAGGAAAGGACAAAAUCCCUUGGCCAACUGAAACAUCUGCAUUAUCCAUUGGAAGCAAGAUGUGUCUUUAGACCAGGCAUGAAAAAAUGUGCGACAAUGAAUAUCAACACGUAACUGAUAAAUUAUGAAGCAGCAAUUGCAGACUUCACCUCUUGCCCAGAAGUCUCUGUUCUCAUUCCUCAACCUAUCCAGAUAAGGACUUCUAGAGUGAGGUAUGAACCUCUUCUUCCCUCGCAUGAAGCUGGCUUCACACAAGUCACUAGCAGAGCAGGAUCUUGUGCUAGAAGGUCCAGAUCCAUUAGUCUAUCCUGCAGUUCCCAAGACAUCAAGCUCCUUUUCUG
ensembl:lncRNA